GCUUACCUGUGCUCAGCUGGUAAAGAGACCACCUGCAAUGUGGGAGACCUAGGUUCGAUCCCUGGGUUGGGCA
rnacentral:tRNA from 1 species